rnacentral:rRNA from 1 species
GACGAACGCUGGCGGCGUGCCUAAUACAUGCAAGUCGAACGCAGUGGGGACGGGUGAGUAACACGUGGGUAACCUCCCAUCAGAGGGGAUAACACUUGGAAACAGGUGCUAAACCGAUACUGAUGGAUGGACCCGCGGGGCAUUAGCUAGUUGGUGAGGUAACGGCUCACCAAGUCCACGAUGCAUAGCCGACCUUGGAGGGUGGUCGGCCACCCUGUGACUGAUACACGGCCCAGCCUCCUACGGGAGGCAGCAGUAGGGAUUCUUCGGCAAUGGACGAAAGUCUGACCGAGCAACGCCGCGUUAGUGAAGUUGUUUUUCGGAUCGUAAAACUCUGUUGUUAGAGAAGCGGUAUCUAACCAGAAGGCCACGGCUAACUACGUGCCAGCAGCCGCUGUAAUUC